rnacentral:misc_RNA from 1 species
GUAAAACCCCGCCUCCACUCCUGAUUGUCUUAUGCCUUUUAACUUUAACCCCUUUCACAGUGAGAAAAUUAACUGAUUAUUCAGGUGAUUAGGGUGGGGUGGAAUUUACCUUUUACAUAGAAAAAGGUAAAUGCGUUUUUUGAAGGCUGUAUUUAUAAUGUUUAAAGCAUGUUGCCUCCCUUGGUCUAACCCAUUGAUGUGAAUACU